UACGUAGGGUGCAAGCGUUGUCCGGAAUCAUUGGGCGUAAAGAGCGUGUAGGCGGUUCGGUAAGUCCGCUGUGAAAGUCCAGGGCUCAACCCUGGAAAGCCGGUGGAUACUGUCGGGCUAGAGUCCGGAAGAGGCGAGUGGAAUUCCUGGUGUAGCGGUGAAAUGCGCAGAUAUCAGGAGGAACACCAAUUGCGAAGGCAGCUCGCUGGGACGGUACUGACGCUGAGACGCGAAAGCGUGGGGAGCAAACAGG
rnacentral:rRNA from 1 species